rnacentral:rRNA from 1 species
AGAGUUUGAUCAUGGCUCAGAACAAACGCUGGCGGCGUGCUUAACACAUGCAAGUCGUACGAGAAAGUCCGCUUCGGCGGAUGAGUAAAGUGGCGCACGGGUGCGUAACACGUGGGUAAUCUGCCCUUCAGUGGGGAAUAACUCGCCGAAAGGCGGGCUAAUACCGCAUAAUACCGUUUCCACCCCGGUGGGACGGUCAAAGACAGCCUCUGUUUACAAGCUGUCGCUGAAGGAUGAGCCCGCGGCCUAUCAGCUAGUUGGUGGGGUAAUGGCUCACCAAGGCUGUGACGGGUAGCUGGUCUGAGAGGAUGGCCAGCCACACUGGAACUGAGACACGGUCCAGACUCCUACGGGAGGCAGCAGUGGGGAAUCUUGGGCAAUGGGGGCAACCCUGACCCAGCGACGCCGCGUGAGUGAGGAAGGUCUUCGGAUCGUAAAGCUCUGUCGGAUGGGAAGAAAUGUGUGGAAGUGAACAGCUUCCAUGCUUGACGGUACCAUCAGAGGAAGCACCGGCUAACUCCGUGCCAGCAGCCGCGGUAAUACGGGGGGUGCAAGCGUUGUUCGGAAUCAUUGGGCGUAAAGGGCGUGUAGGCGGCUGGAUAAGUCAGAUGUGAAAUCCCUGGGCUUAACCCAGGAAGUGCAUUUGAAACUGUCCGGCUUGAGUGAGGGAGAGGAAAGUGGAAUUCCUGGUGUAGAGGUGAAAUUCGUAGAUAUCAGGAGGAACACCGGUGGCGAAGGCGACUUUCUGGCCCUAUACUGACGCUGAGACGCGAAAGCGUGGGGAGCAAACAGGAUUAGAUACCCUGAUAGUCCACGCUGUAAACGAUGUUCACUAGGUGUUGGGGGGUAUUGACCCCCUCAGUGCCGUAGCUAACGCAUUAAGUGAACCGCCUGGGGAGUACGGUCGCAAGACUAAAACUCAAAGGAAUUGACGG